AGUGAACGCUGGCGGCGUGCCUAAUACAUGCAAGUCGAACGGAGUGGCGCACGGGUGAGUAAUGUAUAGCUAAUCUGCCCUACCCUAGAGGACAACAGUUUGAAACGGCUGCUAAUACUCUCUCGUGUAGGAUGAGGCUCUAUUGUAUCAGCUAGUUGGAGAGGUAAUGGCGCACCAAGGCUAUGCCGAAUAACUGGUCUGAGAGGAUGAUCAGUCACACUGGAACUGAGACACGGUCCAGACUCCUACGGGAGGAAGCAGUAGGGAAGAUUGCACAAUGGGGGAAACCCUGAAGCAGCAACGCCGCGUGGAGGAUGACACUGGUCGGAGCGUAAACUCCUUUUGUUAGGGAAGCGGUACCUAACGAAUAAGCACCGGCUAACUCCGUGCCAGCAGCCGCGGUAAUUC
rnacentral:rRNA from 1 species